GCUCGAUUGGUCGGGUCGGGGCGGGCCUGAGCCACCGGCCAGCGCCAUUGAGGAGCUGCGGAGGGGAAGCGCCGCGCAUUGCUGGGCUGGGGUGGGCGGCCCGGGACAGCGACAGAUUCUUCUGUGACCAUGAGAGAGAGAAAUGAAUGAUCCAUGAGCUUUAAACACCUUGUCUUGAGGAUAUAGACAUGUUGGAAGGUCUUGUAGCCUGGGUCCUCAAUACCUAUCUGGGGAAAUACGUCAAUAACCUGAACACUGACCAGCUCUCUGUUGCCCUUCUGAAAGGUGCUGUUGAAUUAGAAAACUUGCCUUUAAAGAAAGAUGCCUUGAAAGAACUGGAAUUACCAUUUGAAGUCAAAGCUGGCUUAAUUGGGAAAGUAACCCUUCAGAUUCCCUUUUAUCGCCCCCACGUGGACCCCUGGGUGAUCUCCAUCUCCAGCCUUCACUUAAUUGGAGCCCCUGAAAAAAUACAGGAUUUCAAUGAUGAAAAGGAGAAGCUGUUGGAAAGGGAACGCAAGAAAGCUCUCCUUCAAGCCCUGGAGGAGAAAUGGAAGAACGAACGCCAGCAGAAAGGGGAAUCCUACUGGUAUUCAGUGACUGCCUCGGUAGUUACCAGAAUUGUGGAGAAUAUUGAAUUAAAAAUUCAAGAUGUCCACCUGCGCUUUGAAGACGGCCUUACCAACCCCGCGCAUCCUUUCGCGUUCGGCAUCUGCAUUAAGAACGUGUCCAUGCAGAAUGCCGUGAAUGAGCCCGUGCAGAAAUUAAUGCGGAAAAAGCAGUUAGAUGUGGCAGAGUUUAGCAUCUAUUGGGAUGUCGACUGCACUUUAUUGGGGGAUUUGCCUCAGGUGGAGCUGCAGGAGGCCAUGGACAGGAGCUUGGACCGGCGCGAUCAUCACUACAUCCUGGCUCCUGUGUGCGCGUCCGCGCUCCUGAAGAGAAACUGCUCCAAAGAGCCGCUGAGGUCUCGGCACGCUCCCCGUAUCGAAUGCGAUAUUCACCUGGAGACCAUUCCCUUGAAACUCUCCCAGCUGCAAUACCGGCAAAUCAUGGAAUUCCUCAAGGAGCUGGAACGAAAGGAGAGGCAGGCGAAGUUCCGGAAAUGGAAACCCAGAGUGGCGGUGUCUGAGAACUGCCGAGAGUGGUGGUACUUUGCUUUGAACGCCAACCUGCACGAGAUCCGGGAACAGAGGACGCGCUGCACGUGGGACUUCCUGUUGCACCGGGCCCGCGAUGCCGUGUCUUACACUGACAAAUACUUCACCAAGUUGAAAGGAGGCUUGCUGUCGGCAGACGACACGGAGGAAAUGUGUCGGAUUGAAGAGGAGCAGAGCUUCGAGGAAUUGAAGAUUUUGCGUGAGCUGGUUCAUGAACGAUUCCACAAACAGGAAGAACUGGCCGAGAGCCUGCGGGAGCCUCAGUUUGAGUCCCCUGGGGACUCUCCCGGAGACCCGGAGAGCGGUGGAGGCGGUGGGAUGCUGCAGUACCUUCAGUCCUGGUUUCCUGGCUGGGGCGGCUGGUACGGGCAGCACAGCCCUGAAGGGAGGCCAGGCGAGGGGCUGACAGCAGAGCGGCAGGCGCCGUGGACGCCCGAGGAGAUCCUGGGCUCUGAGGAGUUUUUUGACCCCACUGCAGACGCCUCUUGUAUGAACACGUACACAAAGCGAGACCAUGUCUUUGCCAAACUGAACUUGCAGUUGCAGCGAGGGACUGUGACUCUGUUGCACCAGGAGCAGGGAGCUCCUCAGACGAAUCAAAGUGCUUUCAUGCAGCUCGAGUUUUCAGGUGUAAAACUCCUCGCCGAGUCUCUUCCUCGAAGGAAUUCCUCCUUGCUUCUAGUCCGCUUGGGCGGCCUGUUUCUUCGCGACCUGGCCACGGCAGGAACCAUAUUUCCUCUCCUGGUCUUCCCCAAUCCGCAAAAAGAAGUUGGCAGAGUCUCACAGUCUUUUGGUCUCCAGACAACUUCUGCAGAUAGAAGUGAUCAUUGCCCUGCUGCAGACCCAGACGACCCAGUUUUUGAGAUGCUGUACGAGAGGAACCCAGUGCACAGCCAAUUCGAGAGGCGGCUGCAUGUCAGCACGAGGCCCUUGAACAUUGUAUAUAAUCCCCAGGCUAUUAGAAAAGUAGCCGACUUUUUCUACAAGGGAAAGGUUCAUACCUCAGGUUUUGGUUAUCAGUCUGAACUUGAGUUGAGAGUGGCUGAAGCUGCCCGAAGACAGUAUAACAGACUGAAGAUGCAGACUAAGGCUGAAAUCCGACAAACUCUUGAUCGUUUGCUUGUGGGUGAUUUCAUAGAGGAGAGUAAACGGUGGACUGUGCGACUAGAUAUUUCUGCCCCACAAGUGAUUUUUCCUGAUGACUUCAAAUUCAAGAAUCCCGUGCUGGUUGUCGUGGAUCUAGGAAGAAUGCUGUUGACCAAUACCCAAGAUGACAUCAAGGGGAAGAGCGGGGAUGGCUCAGCAUCCGAAGAGAAUCAGUUUAGUGACGAUGAAUAUAAGACCCCUCUGGCCACACCUCCGAACACCCCACCCCCCGAGACAAGUGGCAGUAGUGGGGAGAAAACACCUCCGUUUUCUGGUGUUGAAUUCAGUGAAGAGCAGCUUCAGGCACAGCUAAUGAGCACGAAGAUGUACGAGAGGUACUCGCUGUCCUUCCUGGACCUCCAGAUCAUGGUGGGACGAGUGAAGGACAACUGGAAGCACGUCCAGGAUAUUGACGUGGGACCGACCCACGUGGUGGAGAAAUUCAACGUUCACCUCCAGUUAGAGCGGCGGUUGAUUUACACUUCAGAUCCCAAGUACCCCGGAGCCGUGCUCUCAGGCAACCUUCCAGACCUAAAGAUCCACAUCAAUGAAGAUAAAAUAGCAGCUCUGAAGAACUGCUUUGCUCUCCUGACCACCCCAGAAAUGAAGACUUUGGACACUCAGUUUAAAGAGAAGAUUUUCCCCCAAGGCGGGCAGCGGGGGAGUUUGCAGGACUCCGUGAUGAAUUUAACCCAGAGCAUCGUGACCCUGGAGCAGCACACCCGGGAGGUUCUGGUGGAGUCCCAGCUCCUGCUGGCUGAGUUUCAAGUGAACUGCAUGCAGCUCGGCGUUGAGAGCAACGGCCGGUACAUUUCUGUGCUGAAGGUGUUCGGUACCAACGCUCACUUCGUGAAGAGGCCUUACGAUGCCGAGGUCUCCCUCACCGUCCACGGUUUGCUCCUAGUGGACACCAUGCAGACAUACGGUGCUGAUUUUGAUCUUUUGAUGGCUUCACACAAGAACCUGAGCUUUGAUAUCCCAACGGGGAGCCUCCGGGAUAGCAGGGCCCAGUCUCCUGUCUCUGGAUCCAACGCGGCCCACUUCACCAAUGCUGCCACACUAAACGACCAGUCAGCCACGGGUAUCUCUCUGGACAGAAUUCUCACCAAAGAACAAGAGUCCCUCAUUAAGCUGGAAUAUCAGUUUGUGAGUUCAGAGUGCCCAUCGAUGAAUUUGGACAGCACUCUUCAGGUGAUUUCACUACAGGUGAACAAUUUGGAUAUUAUCCUAAAUCCAGAGACAAUUGUGGAGCUGAUUGGUUUUCUUCAAAAGUCCUUUCCCAAGGAAAAAGAUGAUUUGAGUCCUCAGCCUUUAAUGACUGAUUUUGAAAGAAGCUUUAGGGAACAAGGAGCCUACCAGUCUACCUACGAACAAAACACUGAGGUCGCGGUGGAAAUCCACAGACUUAACUUACUGCUCCUGCGGACCGUGGGGAUGGCACACGGGGAGAAGUACGGCAGGAAGAUUGCAACGGCGAGUAUAGGGGGCACCAAGGUCAAUGUUUCCAUGGGCAGCACGUUCGACGUGAACGGUUCUCUUGGCUGUUUGCAGCUCAUGGAUUUGACCCAAGACAAUGUCAAGAACCAGUAUGUUGUCAGCAUUGGGAAUUCCAUAGGCUAUGAAAACAUCAUCAGUGACAUCGGCUACUUUGAGUCUGUAUUUGUCAGGAUGGAAGAGGCAGCCCUCACCGAAGCGCUGAGUUUCACCCUUGUUGAGAAAUCGAAGCAGGAAUGUUUUCUCAGCCUCAAGAUGGCUUCCCUGCAUUACAACCACUCUGCCAAAUUUUUGAAGGAGUUGACAUUGUCCAUGGACGAACUGGAGGAAAAUUUCCGAAGUAUGCUGAAAAGCGCCGCCACCAAGGUGACCACGGUCCUGGCCACCAAGACGGCCGAGUACAGUGAGAUGGUGUCACUCUUCGAAACUCCACGGAAGGCCCGGGAACCUUUUGUCUUAGAAGAAAAUGACAUAUAUGGGUUUGGCCUCGAGGCCUCUCAUUCCGACACUGUAAAGCUGAUCUUGAACAUAAACAUCGAGUCCCCAGUCGUGUCUGUCCCUCGGAAGCCUGGGAGCCCCGAGUUGUUGGUAGGACACCUGGGACAGAUCUUCAUCCAGAAUUUUGUGGCGGGAGAUGACGAAUCCAGAAGCGAUCGUCUGCAAGUGGAAAUCAAAGACAUUAAGUUAUAUUCUUUGAACUGCACCCAGCUGGCAGGCAGAGAGGGUCCUGGGCCUGAAGUAACCCGGGCGUUUUGCCCUCCUGCUGGGUCCGCCAGUGCCAACAGUCAGGAGGAAGCACAUUUCACCCGACACGAUUUCUUCGAGUCUUUGCAUCGAGGUCAAGCUUUUCACAUCCUGAACAACACGACCAUUCAGUUUAAAUUGGAGAAGAUCCCUAUAGAGAGAGAAUCUGAAUUGACUUUCUCCCUUAGUCCAGAUGACCUGGGAACUUCUAGCAUCAUGAAGAUCGAAGGAAAAUUUGUCAAUCCAGUUCAGGUGGUGCUGGCGAAGCACGUGUACGAGCAGGUUUUGCAAACGCUGGACAACCUCGUGUACAGUGAAGAUCUGAAUAAGUUUCCGGUCAGCGUUGCCUCCUCGCCUUGCCCGAAUUCUCCUCUGCCUUCCCUCAGCUCCUGUGGCGAGCCUUCCAUUGAAAGGAAGGAGAAUGGAUUGUUCAGCCACGCCAGCCUCUCCACCUCUUCUCAGAAGUCUUUGUCCGUGAGGGAAGUCAGAUCCUUUACCCAGAUCCAAGCCAACUUCUGUAUAUCCGAGCUUCAGGUGCAGCUCAGCGGAGAUCUGACUUUGGGGUCCCAGGGUCUUGUGAGCUUAAAGUUUCAGGAUUUUGAGGUGGAAUUCAGUAAAGACCAUCCUCAGACUCUGUCCAUUCAGAUUGCCCUGCGCUCUCUGCUGAUGGAAGACUUACUGGAGAAGAAUCCGGACUCCAAGUAUAAGAACCUGAUGAUGUCUCGGGGCGCCCCAAAGCCGUCUAGUUUAGCGCAGAAGGAGUAUCUCUCUCAGUCUUGUCCUUCCGUGUCCAACGUGGAGUAUCCGGAUAUGCCGCGGUCUCUCCCUUCCCACAUGGAAGAGGCGCCUAACGUCUUCCAGCUGUACCAGAGACCCACCUCGGCCUCCCGGAAGAAGCAAAAGGAGGUCCAAGACAAGGACUGUCCCUUGACCCCACCUCCUUCUCCAACAGUAGACGAGCCCAAGAUAUUUGCGGGAAAGAGUAAAUUUGAUGAUUCCUUGGUCCAUAUCAACGUAUUCUUGGUGGAUAAGAAACAUCCAGAAUUCUCUUCCAGUUAUAAUCGAAUUAACCGGAGCAUCGACGUGGAUUUUAACUGCCUGGAUGUGCUGAUCACACUGCAGACCUGGGUGGUGAUACUAGACUUUUUUGGAAUCGGGUCCACCGCAGACAACCACGCAAUGAAGGGACCACCCGAGGACGUCCUGCAGAAUGUGAAGUCAGAGACAAGCACUUUAACAGAGUCUGAACUCCAGGAUCCCGUUAACACCAAACUGGAUCUCAAGGUUCAUUCGCUCUCUCUCGUGUUGAAUAAGACCACCAGUGAGCUUGCUAAAGCCAACGUGUCCAAAUUAGUGGCACACCUGGAAAUGAUUGAGGGAGACCUGGCCUUACAGGGCAGCAUCGGGAGCCUGUCUCUAAGUGACCUGACAUCCCAUGGAGAGUUCUACAGAGAACGGUUCACUACAAGUGGGGAAGAAGCACUCAUCUUCCAGACUUUUAAAUACGGGCGGCCUGACCCUCUGCUCCGGAGAGAGCACGACGUUCGCGUGCGCCUGCAGAUGGCCUCCGUGCAGUAUGUGCACACCCAGCGCUUCCAGGCCGAGGUGGUGGCCUUCAUCCAGCACUUCACUCAGCUGCAGGACGUGCUGGGGCGCCAGCGAGCCGCCGUUGAGGGCCAGGCGGUGAGAGAUCAAGCCCAGCGUGGUUCACGGGUUCUCCUGGAUAUUGAAGCUGGUGCUCCUGUGCUUCUUAUCCCAGAAAGUUCCAGAUCAAAUAAUUUGAUUGUAGCAAAUUUGGGGAAGUUGAAAGUCAGGAACAAGUUUCUCUUUGCUGGUUUUCCUGGGACCUUUACUUUACAGGAUAAGGAGUCUGUGCCUUCAGCUUCCCCAACUGGUACUCCCAAACACAGUGUGAGGAAAAUGACAAGCACGGAGGACCCGAAAGGGACUCAUUCCGAGGGGCUGUUCAUGAUGCCUCCUGCUGGAAUGAGUCUAGGCAGCCUGAAGAGCGAGUUUGGGCCAAGUACCUCGACCAGGCAGCAAGGACAGCAAGCCACACCUUCUGUCAGCCAGGUUUCGAGUAGCCCAGAAGACCACGUCUGCCUGCUGGAUUGCAUUGUUGUCGAUCUACAAGACAUGGACAUCUUUGCCGCAGAGAGGCGCCCUCGAGAGUAUUCCAAGUCCUCGGAAGCCAGUAGUGGAGACCUGCUCUUCCCCUCCUAUUUCGUGAGACAGACAGGAGGAAGUCUCUUGACUGAGCCUUGUAGGCUAAAAUUGCAGGUGGAAAGGAAUUUGGACAAAGAAAUAAGUCAUACAGUGCCAGACAUCUCUAUCCACGGCAACCUCUCCUCCGUUCACUGCUCUCUGGAUUUGUACAAAUACAAGCUCAUCCGGGGUUUAUUGGAGAACAACCUUGGAGAACCCAUAGAGGAAUUCAUGCGGCCUUAUGACUUACAGGACCCCAGGAUUCAUACUGUUCUGAGCGGAGAAGUGUACACGUGCAUGUGUUUCCUCAUUGAUAUGGUGAAUGUCAGUCUGGAGCUGAAAGAUCCAAAGGGAAGGGAAGGUGCUGGGUCCCUGGCCAGAUUUGACUUCAAGAAAUGUAAACUGCUUUAUGAGAGCUUCUCCAACCAAACCAAGUCCAUUAACUUGGUUUCCCAUUCCAUGAUGGCUUUUGACACCCGCUAUGCUGGGCAGAAGACCAGUCCUGGCACGACAAACGUAUUCACCUGUAUCUUCCAGCCCUCUAAGAAUAGCAGCACUACCCAAGGAUCCAUUCAGAUCGAACUGCAUUUUAGGUCUACAAAGGAGUCCUCCUGUUUCACAGUAGUUCUCAACAAUCUCCGUGUGUUCCUCAUAUUUGACUGGCUGCUCUUAGUCCACGGUUUUCUCCACACUCCCAGUGAUAUUAAGAAGCAAAGCAAGGUCACUCCUUCUCGUCACCGUAACUCUAGCAGUGAAUCUGCUGUAAUUCCCAAAACGGUGAAAAGUGGAGUAGUUACCAAACGGUCUUCCCUUCCUAUGUCCACUGAAAGGCACCUGGAGGUCAAGGUCAACGUUACAGGCACAGAGUUUGUGGUCGUGGAAGAUGUGUCCUGCUUCGAUACCAAUGCCAUUAUCCUCAAAGGCACCACAGUGCUCACCUAUAAGCCCCAAUUUGUCGAUCGCCCCUUUUCAGGAAGUUUGUUUGGCAUCGAGGUGUUUUCAUGUCGACUGGGGAACGAGCAAGACACAGCUCUUUCAAUUGUUGAUCCAGUACAAAUUCAGGUGGAGCUGGUGGGGAAUUCUUCUUAUCAGAACAGCUCAGGAUUGAUGGAUGCAUUCAACAGUGAGGAUUUUCCACCAGUCUUAGAGAUUCACUUACAAGCCCUGGAUAUCAGACUCUCCUAUAAUGAUGUUCAGCUGUUUCUUGCCAUUGCAAAAUCCAUCCCAGAGCAAGCAAGCGUUGCAGUGCCAGAUGCAGCGGCCCUGGAGUCUCCCUCCUUGAGCGGUCACCUUCCCAGUGCAUCUCGAGGUGGAGAGGAGAUCAGAGAAGGGACGAAGCAUACCUUAGAUCCUGUCUUGGAGUUACAACUGGCUAGACUGCAGGAGCUGGGAUUCAGCAUGGAUGAUUGCCGCAAAGCUCUUUUGGUGUGUCAAGGUCAACUGAAAAAGGCAGCAAGCUGGUUGUUCAAGAACGCUGAACCUCUGAAGUCCCUUUCCCUGGCCUCUAACAGCCGAGAGAGCCAGGGGGCUGCGCCGGCCCGGCUGCUCUCGGGCGUGGAGAUGAAGGCCGAGAGCGUGUGCAUCUGCUUUAUUGACGACUGCAUGGACUGCGACGUCCCUCUCGCAGAGCUCACCUUUUCCCGCCUGAAUUUCCUGCAGCACGUAAGAACUAGCCCCGAAGGCUACGCCCACUUCACCCUUUCUGGAGAUUACUAUAACCGUGCUCUGUCAGGCUGGGAGCCAUUCAUUGAGCCAUGGCCAUGCUCUGUAUCCUGGCAACAACAGGCAGCCAGCCGUCUCCAUCCUCCUCGACUGAAGCUGGAAGCCAAGGCCAAACACCGUUUGGAUAUCAACAUCACUUCUGUACUAAUGGACCAGUAUGUAAGCACCAAGGAGUCGUGGAUGGCAGAUUAUUGUAAACAGGACAAGGAAAUAGAUUCAACCACGUCGGAAGACUGGAUGGGCUCCUCAGUGGAUCCUCCAUGCUUUGGACAAAGCCUCCCCCUUGUCUACCUUAGAACUAGGAGUACAGCCAGUCUGACUAACCUAGAGCACCAGAUCUAUGCUAGAGCAGAGAUGAAAGCACCCAAACGCCGGCAGCCGUUCGUGCCUUUUGCCCUGAGGAAUCACACCGGCUGCACUUUGUGGUUUGCCACCCUGACCACCACGCCCACCAGGGCUGCACUGUCUCACAGCGGAAGUCCAGGGAUGGUUCCAGAAGGGGACGGAACACUUCUGGACGAUGCUCACAAUGUUAGCGAGUGGCGGGAAGUCCUCACGGGUGAAGAGAUUCCCUUUGAAUUUGAAGCAAGGGGAAAGCUGAGACACAGGCACACCCAUGACCUCCGGAUUCAUCAGCUGCAAGUGCGAGUAAAUGGCUGGGAGCAAGUGAGCCCCGUGUCUGUGGAUAAAGUUGGGACUUUCUUCCGAUACGCUGCGCCGGAUAAGAACUCCUCUUCCUCCACGAUUGGCAGCCCAGGCAGCAGAACAAAUAUUAUUCAUCCGCAGGUUUAUUUCUCUUCCCUCCCUCCUGUCCGGGUGGUCUUCGCGGUGACCAUGGAAGGCAGCGCUCGGAAAGUGAUCACUGUCCGCUCGGCCCUCAUUGUGAAGAACAGACUUGAGACACCAAUGGAACUGAGACUGGACAGCCCAUCAGCUCCAGACAAGCCCGUGGUGCUUCCUGCCAUCAUGCCCGGCGAUUCGUUUGCGGUGCCGCUGCACCUCACCUCUUGGCGGCUGCAGGCCCGGCCCAAAGGAUUGGGGGUGUUUUUCUGCAAGGCUCCCAUUCACUGGACCAAUGUCGUGAAGACUGCCGAGGUCAGUAGCAGCAAGCGAGAGUGCCACUCCAUGGACACGGAGAAAAGCCGCUUCUUCAGGUUUUGUGUGGCCAUAAAGAAAGAGAAUUACCCGGAUUACAUGCCCUCCAACAUCUUUUCUGACAGCGCGAAACAGAUUUUCAGACAGCCUGGGCAUACCAUCUAUCUCCUGCCAACGGUGGUCAUCUGCAACUUGCUGCCUUGUGAACUUGAUUUUUAUGUUAAAGGAAUGCCAAUUAACGGGACACUGAAACCUGGCAAGGAGGUGGCUCUCCACACAGCUGAUACGUCUCAGAACAUUGAACUGGGGGUGUCUCUGGAGAACUUCCCACUCUGUAAAGAAUUGCUCAUUCCACCUGGAACCCAAAACUACAUGGUAAGAAUGAGACUCUAUGACGUCAACCGGCGGCAGCUGAACCUCACCAUCCGGAUUGUGUGUCGAGCAGAAGGAUCUUUAAAGAUCUUCAUUUCUGCUCCGUAUUGGUUGAUUAACAAAACAGGGCUCCCACUGAUCUUCAGACAGGACAAUGCAAAGACAGAUGCCGCAGGCCAGUUUGAGGAACAUGAGCUGGCUCGGAGCCUGAGCCCUCUCUUAUUCUGCUACGCUGACAAAGAGCAGCCAAACCUCUGCACGAUGAGAAUCGGAAGGGGGAUUCAUCCUGAAGGCAUGCCGGGCUGGUGUCAGGGCUUCUCGCUGGAUGGUGGGAGUGGUGUCCGAGCUUUGAGAGUCAUCCAGCAAGGAAACCGCCCAGGGCUGAUCUAUAACAUUGGGAUUGAUGUCAAGAAAGGCCGAGGUCGAUAUAUUGACACCUGUAUGGUCAUCUUUGCCCCCCGUUACCUGCUAGACAAUAAAUCGUCUCACAAGCUUGCAUUUGCACAGAGGGAAUUUGCCAGGGGACAGGGAACAGCCAAUCCGGAAGGUUACAUUUCCACCCUUCCUGGUUCCAGCGUGGUGUUCCACUGGCCUCGGAAUGACUACGAUCAGCUGUUGUGUGUCAGACUGAUGGACGUUCCCAACUGUAUUUGGUCUGGAGGCUUUGAAGUCAACAAGAAUAAUUCCUUCCAUAUCAACAUGAGAGAUACUCUGGGAAAAUGCUUCUUCCUGCGCGUGGAAAUUACUCUGCGAGGAGCUACUUAUAGAAUCUCAUUUAGUGAUACAGAUCAGUUACCCCCACCUUUCCGAAUUGACAACUUUUCUAAGGUCCCGGUUGUCUUUACUCAGCAUGGCGUCGCUGAACCCAGGCUCCGGACCGAAGUGAAGCCCAUGACUUCCCUGGACUAUGCCUGGGACGAACCCACCCUGCCACCUUUUAUCACUCUGACUGUUAAAGGGGCAGGCUCCUCUGAGCUCAUCUGCAACAUGAAUGAUUUCCAGGAUAACCGGCAGCUUUAUUAUGAAAAUUUCAUUUACAUCGCUGCCACGUAUACAUUCUCUGGCUUACAGGAGGGGACAGGACGGCCUGUGUCUUCCAACAAAGCCAUUACCUGCGCAGAGCUCGUCUUGGACGUCUCACCAAAGACACAGAGAGUCAUUUUAAAGAAGAAGGAACCGGGGAAGCGUUCCCAGCUGUGGAGGAUGACUGGCACAGGCAUGCUGGCCCAUGAGGGCUCUUCCGUGCCUCACAACCCCAGCAAGCCCUCGGCCGCCCGCUCCACUGAGGGCUCUGCCAUCCUGGAUAUCGCAGGUCUGGCUGCGGUCACUGACAACAGAUAUGAGCCACUGAUGCUAAGAAAGCCCGAUCGCAGGCGAAGCACAACCCAGACCUGGAGUUUCCGAGAAGGCAGACUGACCUGUGGGCUACACGGCUUGGUUGUCCAGGCCAAAGGAGGGCUUUCUGGCUUGUUUGAUGGAGCUGAAGUUGUUCUUGGUCCUGACACUUCCGUGGAGCUUUUGGGGCCAGUUCCGCCUGAACAACAGUUUGUUCACCAAAAAAUGCGGCCUGGUUCUGGAAUGUUAUCCAUCAGAGUCAUCCCAGAUGGCCCAACUAGAGCCCUCCAGAUAACAGAUUUCUCCCAACGAAAAAGUGACCGUUCAUCAUAUGAAGUGGAUGAACUUCCUGUUACUGAACAAGAGCUGCAGAAAUUAAAGAAUCCAGACACAGAGCAGGAACUGGAGGUGCUGGUCAAGUUGGAAGGUGGCAUCGGGCUGUCUUUAAUUAACAAAGUCCCGGAAGAACUGGUCUUUGCAAGUCUCACGGGAAUCAGUGUGCACUACACGCAGUUGGCCACUAGUCAUAUGCUUGAACUCAGCAUACAGGACGUUCAGGUGGACAAUCAGCUCAUUGGCACCACUCAGCCCUUCAUGCUCUAUGUGACUCCGCUGAGUAACGAGAACGAGGUCAUCGAGACAGGCCCCGCCGUGCAGGUGAACGCGGUGAAGUUCCCCAGCAAGAGCGCGCUGACCAACAUCUACAAGAGGUGGAAAAAUAUGAUGAAAACCUUCAUGAAAAGACAGUUGAACAAGGUGGGACACCAAUUCGAUACUACUUUGAAAAUCUCAAAAUCAGCAUCCCCCAGAUCAAGCUGAGUGUGUUCACCUCCAACAAGCUACCCCUGGAUCUCAAGGCCCUAAAAAGCACCUUGGGAUUUCCACUGAUUCGGUUUGAAGACGCUGUGAUUAAUCUGGAUCCAUUCACCCGCGUACAUCCCUAUGAGACCAAGGAGUUCAUCAUCAAUGAUAUCCUCAAACAUUUCCAGGAGGAACUCCUCAGCCAGGCAGCUCGGAUCCUGGGAUCGGUGGACUUCCUUGGCAACCCCAUGGGGCUCUUGAAUGACGUUUCCGAAGGGGUUACGGGACUGAUAAAGUACGGAAAUGUUGGUGGCCUUAUCAGAAAUGUUACACACGGAGUAUCAAACUCUGCUGCCAAGUUUGCAGGGACGCUCUCGGAUGGCUUGGGGAAGACGAUGGACAAUCGCCAUCAGUCGGAGCGGGAGUACAUCAGAUACCACGCGGCCACGAGCGGUGAGCACCUGGUAGCUGGCAUCCACGGCCUGGCCCACGGUAUCAUUGGUGGACUGACCAGUGUUAUCACCUCGACCGUGGAAGGUGUGAAAACAGAAGGGGGUGUCAGCGGUUUCAUAUCUGGCCUUGGGAAAGGGCUUGUUGGCACUGUAACCAAGCCAGUAGCGGGCGCCCUGGAUUUUGCAUCAGAAACAGCCCAGGCGGUGAGAGACACAGCCACACUUAGUGGCCCCAGGACUCAAGCCCAGAGGGUCCGGAAGCCGCGCUGCUGCACCGGGCCCCAGGGCCUGCUGCCCCGCUACUCCGAGAGCCAGGCAGAAGGCCAGGAGCAGCUCUUCAAACUCACAGACAACAUACAAGACGAAUUCUUCAUAGCCGUGGAGAACGUGGACAGCUACUGCGUGCUCAUCUCCUCCAAGGCCGUCUACUUCCUGAGAAGCGGAGACUACGUCGACCGAGAGGCCGUCUUCCUCGAGGUCAAGUACGACGACCUCUAUCACUGCCUCGUCUCCAAAGACCACGGGAAGGUGUACGUGCAGGUGACCAAGAAAGCCGUGAACUCGAGCAGCGGCGUGGCCAUCCCCGGCCCUUCCCACCAGAAGCCGAUGGUCCACGUGAAAUCAGAGGUCCUCGCUGUCAAGUUAUCACAAGAAAUAAACUACGCAAAGAGCCUUUACUAUGAGCAGCAACUCAUGCUGAGACUCAGUGAAAACCAGGAGCAGCUGGAGCUGGACUCCUGAGAAAGGCCAGCUGCUGGAGGGCUGCCCCCGGACGCAGACCCCAGACCACUCAGGAGGAGAGAGGCCCGAGGGCUUGGCUUCGAUGAGAGGAAACCAGAGUAAGGUUGGGGCUGCUAUCAGGAAACCAGGGAAGGUAAAUCCUGAUGAGGGGGGUGCAAACGGUAUGAAUUUGUGGGCAGGGGAUUACUUUAGAUUAUGGGGAGGUACUUUUUCAAAGUCAUUGGUUAAAUAACGUUUAAAAAAAAAAGCGUCCUGAGAUGACUCUAAUUUUAGAUCACCCCGUAUUUUGUUAACGUGUAUAUAUGUACAACUGGGUGUUUGUAAAUACCUAUGAGCGUUUCCGACCAGGGCCUGUGAUGCGUGUAAAGGUUUGGUAACUGUAAAGUCAUAUACAAUUAUAUUGGGUCUUCUAUUGCACUGAUCCUGCACAUCUACUUCAGGGUCCUGUCUGUGAAAAGGGACUCUGGCAAGUGGCAGAAUGUUCCGUCCAGCUGUGGGAACCAGCGUUCACAGUCCCGGGGUCGGUGGUGAGGGGCAGGUGCCCUUGGAGCCUGCCUCGCCAGGACAGAGCCGUGCACCAGAGUGUCCACACCCAGAGCUGGCCCUCCACGAGGCGGAAGGGGCCAGCCCAGACACGGCUUUUAUUGAAUUGUCACCCCGUUUUAAAGAUAGUUCUCAGCGUGUCACAGAUUAUUUUUUAGCGGCCUGUCUCUUUGGCUCUCUCCUGACUAGUCUUGCCACUCUGAGGUAAAGCUUGGGGCUGUGUUCACUUUCCACGCACACCAGCCUUAACGUGUUUCUUGAGUUGUUAUCACAGAAGUUGGUUUGAAAUGGUAGGUUCUGGUAACUCAGAAGGAAAAAAAAAAAACCCAUCGAACUGCUUAACAAAUCAAAAAUCCACAAAUGUAUCAAAAAUCCAGAAUGUUCUCCCUCCUGAGCAGCAGUGGCAAGAAAGGCCCUAGGACCGCCUUCCUUUUCACAAAGCCGCAGGCAGACCCCCAGCGCCACAGCCCGGGAACCGUGUCUCAGUGCUACCACUGGGAUGAGACGGAAGAGCGAGGGCCUUCCCGGGUCUUGUUUUUGUUGUUUCUCUUUUCCAUCAGGAACAGCCAGGUGUGCGGGUGGGCAGGGGGGUGGGGGGGUGCUCACUUUAGAAGGAAUGACUAGCCUUGUGAUUUUUAAAUUUAAAAUUUCGACUUUUAUUUUAAUAAAUCAAAUCAAUUUCUACAACCAUGUCACCUGUAGCUGAGCUCUGAAAGGACUCAGGGGGCCAGCAGAUGUGUGGAAGGUUUUGGUGUUUGUAACUCAUGACCCAAGUCCUUCUAAGACACAGAUGAAGCUCCCCUGUCUUUCUUGCCCCUCUCCGUGUGUUUAUGUGUGUGUGUGUGUUUGUGUGUGUGUGUGUGUGUGUGUUUAUAUGUGUGUGUGUGUGUGUGUGUGUGUAUUUUCAAAGAAGCAGGAAGGGAGCUUUAACACAGUGCUUAGUGUCUGGCUAAACAGUGUUUUCCAGGACCAUCUGGAACUCCAAGGACAGUCUUCACUGAACUCUGUUCGUGGGUCACACCGUGGAAACCCAGCCUUCCAAGGGUUGGGGGUGUUCUUGGUCACUUGGCGAGGGGGCAGUUGCUGGGCCGCAGCCACGAUGCCAGCUGCUGCUCCUAUAGGUCUCUCCUCUUCCUCACCAGCCCUCGAGUUCCCCCCCCCCGACCCCGCCCUGCACCCCACAAGCUUGGCUUGUGGGUCUUGUCAUCAGUAACCCACUGCCUGAGAUCACCAUCUCUUAAAGAUGGGAUUCUCAGAAGGCUGGACUGUUUGCGUCCGUGAGCCUUCUGUCACCUUCCGGAAUGAAGUCACUCGGAAUUUCUGUUGGAUGGAGGAGGAAUUUCAAGUUGGCAUAUGACCAAGACAGCCCCAGUAGCAACUGGUAUUCUCUGCAGCUCUGCCCGCAGGAAGCUGGUUGAGGGCUGCGCUGUGGAAUGGAGCUUCCAGGAAGCUUCCAGAGGAGUGUUCUCAUGCCUUUCUCCCACCUCCUCUCUAAAUUCAAUCAGCUCUCCAAACAGUCACUCCUGUCCCGAUUGCAGGACCCCUCUUGGCCGUUUGCACCUUAGAAGAGGCAGACAUUGACAUGGGAUCCACAGGCCAACAGGGCCGGGGGUCGGAGGGCCAACUCAGAGCUCUCAAGCUCCCUGUGCCGGCGGGGCCCUCCUGCCAGGCGUGGUCAUGAGGUUUCAGGGGCCUGGACAUGUUUUCCUGGUUUUCCAGGGGAAAAUCCGAAGCUUUGGAGGAUGCAGGCCAUGGCUCUGGCUCCUAACUGCCCUGUUCCUUUUUAGAUGGGUACUUACAGAGUUCCCUGGCGGCUCAGUGGGUUAAAAACCCGAUGUUGUCACUGCAGCCGCUCAGGUCACUGCUGUGGCUUGAGUUUGAUCCCUGGCCCACAUGCUGCGGUGACAGCUAAAAAAAUAAACAAUUGGGGUAUUUAGCCAGCCAGGGAAUAAGGGGAAAUUGGGCAGGCAGAAAGCAAAGCCAGGUUGAUUCCCUGACCCAGCAUAGCUGGCCGUGGCGCUGCCUGGCUGCAGCUGCUUUGCUUCGCCCUCUGGAGGGGCUGGUCUGAGGCCACAGCUUCUCACACCCCGGGCCCGCUGGCUGCCGACCGAGACACAGCAAAGCACCUCACCGCACAGUGGGGACUCACCUCGGGGUUCGGAAGGCUCCUGGGCCCCUUUGUUUUUAAGCAUCAUCUGUGCCUCAAAAUAUCCUAGUAGCUGCUUGAUAAAACUCUGAGCAUAAAGUAUCUGGGUCUCCACCACGUGAGCACCCUGACAAUCACCAGUCUGUUGAGACUCUUGGAUCUGGUUCUCAUGUCAGAGUCGUUAUUUUUCUUCCUGUGGAAUAAAAAUACUCUGUUGACUUCCAAA